ACAGAGGUCCCAAGCGUUGUUCGGAUUCACUGGGCGUAAAGGGUGCGUAGGUGGUCGGAUAAGUUUGAUGUGAAAUCUCCGGGCUUAACCCGGAAACUGCAUUGAAUACUAUCUGGCUAGAGGGUUGGAGGGGGGACUGGAAUACUUGGUGUAGCAGUGAAAUGCGUAGAUAUCAAGUGGAACACCAGUGGCGAAGGCGAGUCCCUGGACAACUCCUGACACUGAGGCACGAAAGCUAGGGGAGCAAACAGGA
rnacentral:rRNA from 1 species